GGCGCGGGGAUCCCUGCGGCCCCACCCGGAGGUGUCCGUCUCUUUCCCCCCCCCCGCCCCGACUUCGCGUCGUUACCGUCGCUGUGAGUGCUGCCCGCUCGUUGCCGCGGAGCUGAGGCUUUGUGCGAAGCGCCCCUUCCUUUUCAUCCUUCCGAACGGGGCCGGCGGGGCUCGGUGUGCGCGGCCGGCAGCGCUGCUCGGUAACGCGGGGUUGGGUCGGUGCGGUUUGUUCUGUCCCUUCCCUGUGCUUCAUCCCCAUGGGAAAUUCCUAAUACUGACUUUAUUUCAGAGCUUCCCCCGUGCUGGAGUGUGAGAGUAGGGGAGGGCGAGCGUGUGCGUCUGCCCUGCUGUGGGCUUCUCCUUUUCCUCUUUCACACUUUUUUUUCUUUCUUUUUUUUUUUCCUCCUUUUUUUUCUUUCUUUUCCCCGUUUAUUUAUUGAUAUAUUUCUGUUAUAGCCUCUGUAAAGAGGGGUUAAGCUGCACUUUUAAGUCAUCCCCCCCCAUCUCUGGGUGCAUCUAUCCCGGGGUGGGGGGGGGCUGUGCUUUCCCUGUGCUUUUUACGGCCCCAGGAGCUGCAUUGCAUUCAUGCACUCCUGCACGUUCCUCUCCCCGCAUUAUUGGGGGACUCGCUCCAGGUGAUGCGUGCAGGUCCUCGUUCCAGCGCUGCGGUGCAAAUUCUGGGGGGAUGCUCUUUGGAUUUGGGGCUCUCGGUGCAGCAGGUCGCGUCUUGGUGUGGAGCUCUGUGUUUUCCCCUAACUGUGCCCACCCAGCCCCUUGGCACUGAAGUCCCACGCCCUUCUCAGCGCUCUGUGUCGCUUUCCAGCUCCUGCACAGCAGCGGUCGGAGGCACCGGCAGGAGGAGCUGCACCCCACGGCCAGGAGAAGGGCAGCUGCUUGAAGAGACAGAAGAACGGAGCCUCCCCAGGUGCAGCGCCGCUGCAGGACCAGGGCUGAAGUGCAUUGGGCUGCUCUGCUGCACCCCGGGCGGGUUUCCCUGCGGCUGCUGGCUCUUUGCAGCACAGCAGUUGCACUUUGCAGACCUGAACCUGCUGCCGUCAGCACUGAGGACACUGAAGUGUUGCAGGCUGAUAGCACCUGGGAAGGAAAAAAAAAAAAAAAACCACCACCACCACCAAAAUCCUGAGGCGGUAAUGCAUGCAUGUUCAUGUCUUCAUGUAGAGUGUUCGUCAGUGCCUUAUAGCAUGAUUUAA
rnacentral:lncRNA from 1 species